rnacentral:piRNA from 1 species
AGAGCUAGAGCAGCGCGCGGUC